rnacentral:tmRNA from 1 species
GGGGCUGUACCGGUUUCGACGUGGGUUCGGACACGCAGCAGGGCAUGUCGAGGUUCUGUCACCUCGUAAAACCGCAGAAACAAACCAACUGCAAACACCAACGCAGCAAACGACUCUUACUUCGCCCAAGUGGCGAAUGCCUAAGGUCGUAUCCGGGGACUAACCUCCCCGGUCCUCGCAGCAGCUCGUCGAUGGGCUGUGCCGAUGGCCGCAAGGCCUGAAGCCGCGAGGUCAUUCACAUCGACUGGACCUGCCACGGGCACCUUGUGGCAGGUCGAGAUCCAAGGGUGCUGGCUGUCCCGGUAGCGUGCCGCUGCGCGACCGGAACGGCGAGAUCCAAUCCAGACGGCUAAACAUGUAGAUCUGCGCGAAGAAGGCUUACGGACGGGGGUUCAAUUCCCCCCAGCUCCACCA